rnacentral:rRNA from 1 species
AUUGAACGCUGGCGGCAGGCCUAACACAUGCAAGUCGAGCGGAUGAAGGGAGCUUGCUCCUGGAUUCAGCGGCGGACGGGUGAGUAAUGCCUAGGAAUCUGCCUGGUCGUGGGGGAUAACGUCCGGAAACGGGCGCUAAUACCGCAUACGUCCUGAGGGAGAAAGUGGGGGAUCUUCGGACCUCACGCUAUCAGAUGAGCCUAGGUCGGAUUAGCUAGUUGGUGGGGUAAAGGCCUACCAAGGCGACGAUCCGUAACUGGUCUGAGAGGCUGAUCAGUCACACUGGAACUGAGACACGGUCCAGACUCCUACGGGAGGCAGCAGUGGGGAAUAUUGGACAAUGGGCGAAAGCCUGAUCCAGCCAUGCCGCGUGUGUGAUGAAGGUCUUCGGAUUGUAAAGCACUUUAAGUUGGGAGGAAGAGAAGUAAGUUAAUACCUUGCUGUUUUGACGUUACCAACAGAAUAAGCACCGGCUAACUUCGUG